ensembl:lincRNA
CCAAUCCUCCAUUUUCAGUUGUACCUACACUGCUGCUUCCGGAAAUCCCUGUCCCCUUUCAGUGGCUCUGGCAUCCUUCCUUUGCUUCUUGACUUCCUGGCUCCUGGUCAGACCUCAGGCUGCUCCAAGCCACAACAUCACAACAGUGCGUGCAGCUGCCUUCCGGGUUCCAAGAGUUUGUCGCUGUUGCUUCCUCUCCACUUUCUUUGUCCAUCGAAGUGGUUGCCUUAUUUUCCCUCCUUUACUGUCAUUUUAGAGGACUUUCAGGAGGGGAUAGAGAUAAACAUACCAAGACUGCACAAGGUGCUGGAGGCCCGCAGUCUUCCUUUCCUUGGUUCCCAUCAGGAGACUUCUCUCAUCCUGUCCUGCCCUGCCCUGCUCCUGCCCAGCCCUGGACAAGAUGCUCUGUCCCUGCCUCUCCCAUGGGUAGGAGCCUGGAAAUCAUCUCCGCAGGAUGGCCCUUUUUCUGGAGGCCUGGACGUUCCCCACAACCCAGCGACACUCUCUGGCGAGAUGAACCCCCGUUCCUGGGACAAUGCUGAAGCACCUGCUGGUCUGUGGUCACUUAUUCGGUGUGUCUUCCCUGCAGAGCUGCGGACAUCAGAACAGCCCUGGGCUGCUUCAGAAAUAAAACCGGUACCCUGGUUUCCUGAAGCCCCUGUAACAAACAAGCAUAAACUGGGUGAUGCAAAACAACAGAACCUUAUUCCCUCUUCGUGCAGGAGGCCAGAAGACUAAAACCAAGGUAUUGGCAGGCUGUGCUCGCUCUGAAGGGAGGAACCUUCCCCUUCCUCGCCUGUCUCCUCGCUCCUGAUGCUGCUGGCAAUCUUCAGUUUCCUUGGUUUAUAGUGGCAUCAUCCUCAUCUCUGUCUCUGUUGUCACCUGACAUUCUGCCCACAUGUCUGUGUCUUUUCCUCUUCUUCUAAGGGCACCAGUCCCAUCAGAUUAAGGACCCCCCACCCCACCGCCCCCUUCGCCAGUAUGAGGUCACCUGAACUAAUUAUACCUCUGAUGGCCAUGUUUCCAAAUAAGACCAUGUUUUAAAACUCCAGGAAGGACAUGAAUCUGGGGACACACUCUUCAGCUUGGCAAAUCUGAUGGCUCUCUCCUUUUGCCUUCAGUUAUUGCUGGGAUGAUGUCUUUGCCUGGACUCUGUUGCUGCUGCCGUGGUGGAUCCCUUUAGGCUCUCGUCGGCUCCCUUGGAACAGCCAGUGCUCCCUAAUUGGUGUCUCUUGAUCUAUCACAGAAAUUUGCAGCCAAGCAAGAAAAGGCUGAGGACUCUGGAGAGAAGAGAUACAGCCUUGCACUGGCAAUGUGGAAGGGAUGGUUCAGAUCCAGCAUCCCCGGAAGCCAGCAGACCCUUGUUUCUUACACACUGCAGGAUGGGCGUGGCUCCUGACUCUAGGGAUUGACCCUGAAGUCUCUGCUGGGAAUGAGGGGACGUCAUUUCCAUGGGACCGUGACACUGUUCCUCUGGUCCCUUCCUGAAUGGUGAAGUUUGAACUGUGACUUGUCUGCAGAGUAGGGCGUACAGCCAUCCCUGCUUUGCCAGCAGAGAGGUCUCGGGUAUGUGAUGCUGUGCAUGGACGUAUUUGAAAUCCAGAGCACAUGGGCUGGACAGGUGAGAAGUGGGUCUCGGACAGGCUCCUCUCACACCCUGGGCUCAGUCAUAUCCUGGGGCAAUUGGCAAGGCCCAGCUUCUAAAUUGACCCCAUAACACUCUGCCAUUGCCAAUGGGGGUGGGCUUGGCUGGGUUUCCCAGAAACAGAAUAAAUUGAAAAGCAAUUGUACUGCAGGGGUGGGAAGGUGAGGCAUGGGGGCGGUCAGAGCGCUUUGUCCAAUUGGUUCCCAAGCACGUGAACUCUGCAGUAAGGCUGCUGGAGGGACAAAAUCAAGGUCAUGAAGAUUGACUCCUGUGUUUUCUUCUAAGGGUUUUAUAUUUUAGCUCCUACAUUGUGGUCUUUGAUGCAUUUUUGGUGGGAGGAGAUGUAAUUGGCUUUAUUCAACCAUUCAUGAACUGGGCAGCAUCCCCUCUAGCAGGUAGAAGGGAACUCCCUGAUGCAUUUUGGUUUAAAAACCACAGAUAUGCUUUACAACAGUGAGAUAUUUGGCAGGAGUGUGUGGGACAAUUUACCCAAAGACACAAUUUUUUUAACAGAUUUAUCGACUUCGAAAUUUCAUUUCCUGUGUGCUCAUUUAUUUAUACGUACCCAUUAAUAUGCACGGCAGUACAGUAGUAAUAGCUCUUGUGGCCACACAGGAAAUGGUGUGCUAAUGUGGGCACGUAGUAACUGGAAACAUCAAGGACAUGUAGCAAGGGAUUCUGCACUUUUUGAAACCAACCCCCUCUUAAGGAUCAAAGGGUGUGGCCGGAUUUUGGACUGACAGCAUCAAAAAGUCAGACAGAGAAUACAUGAAUCAGGAGAUGCAUUUUCUCUCUAACUUCGGGAAACGCGGGACAAAGAGAGCCUGGACCAGCUUCCACGGGCUGAGGUUUGAGAGUGACCCUCUUGCAGAAGCAUGGGACACUUCCAGACUGUGGAGGGCUGCUCGAGAUGUCCAUGCCGGGCACCUGCAUCAGCCCUUCCCCUCCCUCCCCAAUUUUUCAUGGCACCUGGGAGAAGUGGAGGGGAUUCAAGUUCCAUUAUUUAGGGACUCAGGGCCAAAUGAAAAUUCAUAAGAAACCUCUUGUUUGAAAGCAGAAGGGCCAUUAAAGAUACCAAAA